rnacentral:rRNA from 1 species
UACGGAGGGCGCGAGCGUUAUCCGGAAUCACUGGGUUUAAAGGGUGCGUAGGCGGCGAGGUCAGUCAGUUGUGAAAUACCCCGGCUCAACCGGCGGGACUGCGAUUGAUACUGCUUUGCUUGAAACAGGUUGAGGUAAGCGGAAUGUGGCAUGUAGCGGUGAAAUGCAUAGAUAUGCCAUAGAACACCGAUUGCGAAGGCAGCUUGCUGGGCCUGAUUUGACGCUGAGGCACGAAAGCGUGGGGAUCAAACAGG